UGCAGUUGAGCGGUAAGGCCCCUUCGGGGGUACACGAGCAGCGAACGGGUGAGUAUCGCGCGGGUAAUCUACCCAAAGGUGUGGGAUAGCCUCGGGAAACCGGGGGUAAUACCGCAUGAGUCCUUGACGGCAUAAGUCGAUAAGGGGAAAGGCGGGGAUCCUUCGGGACCUGUCGCCUUUGGAUGAGCCUGCGUCCGAUUAGCUUGUUGGCGGGGUAAUGGCCCACCAAGGCAACGAUCGGUAGCCGGCCUGAGAGGGUGAACGGCCACAUUGGGACUGAGACACGGCCCAGACUCCUACGGGAGGCAGCAGUGGGGAAUAUUGGGCAAUGGGGGAAACCCUGACCCAGCGACGCCGCGUGGAGGAUGACGGCCUUCGGGUUGUAAACUCCUGUCAGGUGGGAAGAAGGACCAUUCGGCUAAUACCUGAAUGGUAUUGACGGUACCACCAAAGGAAGCCCCGGCUAACUCCGUGCCAGCAGCCGCGGUAAUACG
rnacentral:rRNA from 1 species